UGGGGAAUAUUGGACAAUGGGCGAAAGCCUGAUGCAGCGACGCCGCGUGUGGGAUGACGCCUUUCGGGGUGUAAACCACUGUUGCCCGGGACGAAAUGCCCUUUCGAGGGAAUUGACGGUACCGGGUGAGGAAGCACCGGCUAACUCUGUGCCAGCAGCCGCGGUAAUACAGAGGGUGCGAGCGUUGUCCGGAAUCACUGGGCGUAAAGGGUGCGUAGGUGGCUUGGUAAGCGUGUGGUGAAAGUCCGGGGCUCAACCCCGGAUCGGCCAUGCGAACUGCCGAGCUCGAGCACUGUAGAGGCAGGUGGAAUUUCGGGUGUAGCGGUGGAAUGCGUAGAUAUCCGAAAGAACACCGGUGGCGAAGGCGGCCUGCUGGGCAGUUGCUGGCACUGAGGCGCGACAGCGUGGGGAGCAAA
rnacentral:rRNA from 1 species